rnacentral:lncRNA from 1 species
GCUGGACGACAAGGACCGGUUCAAAGAGGACAGCGAUCGACUGGUGUGCAGCAGGUUCGACUGCUUUGUGAUCUUCCGAAAGAGAGAGCUCCGCUUCUUGCUGGAGGACAAAUACCAAAAGGAUUAAAGGCAUGCGGCCCUUUGUCUUUGGGGCUAGAGAGAUGACUCAGCAGUUAAGAACCGUGGCUGCUCUUCCAGAGGACCAGACUGGCUUUUCAGCAGUAUGUGGCAUCUAACAACCACCUGUAACUCUAGUUCCAAAGAAUCUGGCGCCCUCUUCUGGCCUCUGCAGGCAUCAAGCACACAUGGAGUACACAUAAACAGAAGCAAUCAAAAUGCUAAUACAAAUUUAAAACAAUAAAAACU